CUUUCAUACACAUGAGAUUCAAAAGAAUGACGACAUCGAUAUCUAAUAAAUUCUCUCAAGUGACAAUGUAGUCAAUUUAUUACAAAAGUACUGCCGACAUUUAUAUUUAAGAAAUUUGUUCACAAGAUUGCAAUGCGUCAACUUAAAGAUUUUCAAUGAUCAAUAUUAGGGGAGUCAUUGUACUUUUUUUUUCCUUCGCUUAGGUUUUUAUCCCACUUGGUUUUCCUAUGAAGGUUUUAACGAGGCAACAUUUAUUUUUAAUACUCCAAAAUAAUUGUACUCUUAUUCCUUCCUUUGUUUUUUUUCCCAUUGAAUUUUUAUCAAAUAAUUUUUAACGAAGAAGAUAUUUUGUAAUGUAUCAUUUUAGGUAGAGAGUUGUAAAUGGUAAGUUUAUUAGGGUUUGUUAGUGAAUGACAAUUUUACCCCUACAACCAUAAAAAUUAUUACUAUUUUACCUAUAAAUAUAGGGCUCUGGUUCUUAAUAAAAUACACACACAAGUCUAUUAACUUUUCUCUGUUUUGUUCUCUUUUCUUCUCUUUUCACAACACAAUGUAACUAUUAUUACCAAAAUGCCUUGAAACAUAAACUAUAUCAAAAAGAGUAUUGAAAUUUUUUUUAAAUGUUUUGUACAUAAAAUCAAUCCGUCACACAACCUUAUAAAACAUAUAUAAUACAUCAAGGGGAGUGUUCCACCUACCAAUACAUUUGAUAAAGAUUUUUGACAAAUAAUAUGGACUCUUAUAUUUAAAAAAAAUAAAAUCUAAUGCUCUUCAUUAAUUAUAUUAAAAUCCUUCAAAAAAUUUAUCCCCCCUUCCAAAUAUACCCCACAUAUCUAUUAAAAAUCACCAAUUACCCUCUCAUAAGCCUUUUUUUCCCCAAAAAAAAAAAAGGUCACCACCUGGAACCAUUCUUCUCCUCUCAUUGGCUUCACAAACAUCUUCUAUCCAACAACCGACAACUGGCAUCUCAAGCUUCUAACAAGAAACGGGUUUGUGAAAAAUAUUUUAAAGAGAGAAUGUAUUAUUGAAAAAAAGUUUUAGAAAAAAUAAUUUUGUGUUAAUAACUGUCAAACAAGGGCUAAAAAUUAAGUGGUUGAAGCUACAAACAUUAAUGGAUUGCUCAGGUUACAUGUCGAUCAUUAAAGGUUGAAAUUCAAAAAAUGAAGCAGCACAACAAGCAAUCCUUUGUAAAAUACUCCAUUCAUAUGGAAAUAUAUAUUUGUAUUUCUCAUUGUUGACAUUGGAUGAUGCAUUAUGGUACAAACAAUUGUUAAGACAUUAAGCCCCCGUUUGACAACCUUUAAAAAUUUAGCCCCCAUUUGGUCCCAUUCUUUCCAAAUUUGAAUUGUUGGAAUAGUGUUUUUUUGAAAAUUGCAUGAUUGAAAAAGAAUGAAAAGUUUUCGAUUUGUGUAUAAUAUUAUUUUAUACAAGAUUGUGUGGUUAAAAAUAAUAGAGUGAAAAAGAAUGAGAAAGAUAAUGGGGGCUAAACGGGGACUUAAAUUGUUUGUUACAUUAUAUUUUUCCACCAUAUAUUCACAUAAUAAAAUAUUCUACACAACCCAAUAAAAUUUUCUUAUUUUUUAACCACAUAUUCUUCAAAAAUGCUAUUUAAAACUCUUUAAUUUUUGAAAUAAUGAAUGUCAAACAGAGCCUAAAUUAUAGAUUCUAUAUUCAAACAAGAGAAUAUAAAAGAACAACAUAGACCACAUAAGGUGAAGAAAUCGCCUUGACCUCUCCAACAUAACAGUGGUUGAUGUCUCUGUUUUAGUGCGUCAACCAGAAUUUAAGGAUGGUAAACCAACAAUAAUCUUCACUCCCUUGGAAUUGCAGCGAUCUGAGGCACCCCUACAGUUUGCCCUCAUUACCAAAUUCUCUAAGACAAGGCCUAGAAUAGAUGUCCUUCGUCACUUUAUGAGUACGAAAUGGGGAUUGUCUGUCGUCCCUAUUGUCAGUUUACUGCAUCGACGGCAUGUAUUGAUUAAACUCCAAAACGCUGAGGAUUUUAAGAAGGGUUGGAAUCUGGACUCCCGUGAGAUUGAUGGCUCCUUGUUUCGAUUGUUUAAAUGGUCUUGUGAUUUUUAAACCGACUGAGGAAUCCCCUAUUGCUCCAGUUUGGAUUCGUCUCCCUUUACUUUUCCUAAAUUUCUGCAUUCCUUCGUAUUUACAAGCAUUUGCGUAGGAUAAUGAUGCGUAGGAUAUUUGAUCGAUUAUCCUACGGGUCUGAGAACCCAAAGGGAAAAGGUCAAGGGUAGACGAAGAGAAGUGCCUAAACAGGUGGUCAAGCCUCUGCGUCGUCAUCUCAGUUCAGACCUGCCAACAAUUACAUUCACACGGCCUAGUUUGGCAAGAGUUUGCUUUGAAAUAGACUUGUCACAGCCACGUGAAGACCUGAUCUAGAUUGGUACUAGAAAGGAUAAUUCAUCGGGUUUUUGGCAAGAAGUACAUUACGAAAGAUCCCCCAAGUAUUGCAGUCACUGUCGUCUUCAUGGACNUGUCUGCUGUCCCUAUUGUCAGUUUACUGGAUUGGCGUCAUGUAUUGAUCAAACUCCAAAACGCCGAGGAUUUUAACAAGGCUUGGACUCUGGAUUCUCGUGAGAUUGAUGGCUCCUUAUUUCGAUUGUUUAAAUGGUCUCGUGAUUUUAAACCGACUGAGGAAUCCCCUAUUGCUCCAUUUUGGAUUCAUCUCCCUUUACUUCCCCUAAAUUUCUGCAUUCCUUCGUAUUUACAAGCAUUGGUCAAGCCUCUGGGUCGUUAUCUCAGUUCAGACCUGCCAACAAUUACAUUCACACGGCCUAGUUUUGCAAGAGUUUGCUUUGAAAUAGAUUUGUCAUAGCCAUGUGAAGACCUGACCUGGAUUGGUACUGGAAAGGAUAAUUCAUCGAGUUUUUGGCAAGAAGUACAUUACGAAAGAUCCCCCAAGUAUUGCAAUCACUGUCGUCUUAAUGGACAUGAUAUUUCAAGCUACAAUAGAAGGCAAGGACUUAACAGUGUAGUUAGAAAGCCAACACAGAAACAUGUGCCAUUGCAGAUUGAUAAGAAAGGUGAAAACAAGGUUGAACAGUCAUCGAAAAAUGAGUAGGACAACUCAGUGGAAAUUCAUCCCCUGAGUAAAGGGGACGAUGCUACAGAGGUUGUUAAGCCGUUACCAAGUAAGGAAGAUGUCUUGCACAAUGAGAAACUAGAAGGGAAACACAAACCUAAAGAGUCUUCGUAGAAAGCUCCCAACAUUCUGCCUAAUGAGGAAAAUGAGGUUACAAUAGACAAUGAUGCCAAGGAUGAGGUCGAGACAAAUAAGAGGUUAAAAGAAACUGGACUUUUGAGCUCUGGAAGCACUACUGAGAUUGAGAAAAUUUCACCAGAUUGUAGUAGAUCCCUUUCUUUCCCCUAAUCUAUGCUCCCCAAUCGUUUAGCAGAAGACAUUCCUAUUGGAAAUUCAUUUGACUUGUUAAUUGAUCAAUUGCACUUGGAAGUUGGAAAAGACCCUUCGGAUUACUCUUUCAACGUUGGUAGGGAUGGAGGUUGUCAUUCUGAUACGGAUAUACCAGACAUUGCAGCCAAUAACAAACGUAACAGAAAAAUGGUACUGAUCUCUAAUCUUUUAGUUGGGGAUCCCCACAAACAUCUUUGAUAUGAGUGCAUUCCUUGUAUAUAAUGCAAGGGGGUUGGGAAAUUCUGCCACCACUCGACAUCUUAAACACUUAACAAAAAAUUUAAAGGUUUCAUUUGUUGCUAUAUUGGAGCCGAUAGUGUCUUCGAAUCAGGCUCCUAAGUUUGGUAGGAAGUUGGGUCUUCCACAAGUAGUUACUAACACAUAAUUUGGGGGUAUGAUAUGGGCUUGUUUUCCAGUAAAUUUUAUUCUCACCAUGGUGGCGGCUAUUGACCAGUUUAUUGCUGUAGAUAUGAACUGGGAAGGAAAUGUGGUUCGUCUUGUCUUUAUCUAUGCCAAAUGUGAUUAUAUCCUUCGAAGAAAAUUGUGGUUGUCUUUGGGACAACUCAUGUCCAGCUCUUUCCCUGUCAUUUUUGUACGGGACUACAAUAUUGUUAAAAAUGAAGAGGAAAGAGCUG
rnacentral:lncRNA from 1 species